CCUACGGGAGGCAGCAGUGAGGAAUAUUUGUCAAUGGACGCAAGUCUGAACCAGCCAUGCCGCGUGCAGGAAGACGGCUCUAUGAGUUGUAAACUGCUUUUGUACGAGGGUAAACGCAGAUACGCGUAUCUGUCUGAAAGUAUCGUACGAAUAAGGAUCGGCUAACUCCGUGCCAGCAGCCGCGGUAAUACGGAGGAUUCAAGCGUUAUCCGGAUUUAUUGGGUUUAAAGGGUGCGUAGGCGGUCGGAUAAGUUAGAGGUGAAAUCCCGAGGCUCAACUUCGGAAUUGCCUCUGAUACUGUUCGGCGAGAGAGUAGUUGCGGUAGGCGGAAUGUAUGGUGUAGCGGUGAAAUGCUUAGAGAUCAUACAGAACACCGAUUGCGAAGGCAGCUUACCAAGCUACUUCUGACGUUGAGGCACGAAAGCGUGGGGAGCAAACAGGAUUAGAUACCCGAGUAGUC
rnacentral:rRNA from 1 species